UACGAAGGGGGCUAGCGUUGCUCGGAAUCACUGGGCGUAAAGCGCACGUAGGCGGAUUGUUAAGUCAGGGGUGAAAUCCUGGAGCUCAACUCCAGAACUGCCUUUGAUACUGGCGAUCUUGAGUCCGGGAGAGGUGAGUGGAACUGCGAGUGUAGAGGUGAAAUUCGUAGAUAUUCGCAAGAACACCAGUGGCGAAGGCGGCUCACUGGCCCGGUACUGACGCUGAGGUGCGAAAGCGUGGGGAGCA
rnacentral:rRNA from 1 species